GACGAACGCUUUCGGCGUGCUUAACACAUGCAAGUCGAGCGGUAAGGCCUUUCGGGGUACACGAGCGGCGAACGGGUGAGUAACACGUGGGUGAUCUGCCCUGCACUCUGGGAUAAGCUUGGGAAACUGGGUCUAAUACCGGAUAUGACCACAGCAUGCAUGUGUUGUGGUGGAAAGAUUUAUCGGUGCAGGAUGGGCCCGCGGCCUAUCAGCUUGUUGGUGGGGUAAUGGCCUACCAAGGCGACGACGGGUAGCCGACCUGAGAGGGUGACCGGCCACACUGGGACUGAGACACGGCCCAGACUCCUACGGGAGGCAGCAGUGGGGAAUAUUGCACAAUGGGCGGAAGCCUGAUGCAGCGACGCCGCGUGAGGGAUGAAGGCCUUCGGGUUGUAAACCUCUUUCAGCAGGGACGAAGCGUGAGUGACGGUACCUGCAGAAGAAGCACCGGCUAACUACGUGCCAGCAGCCGCGGUAAUACGUAGGGUGCGAGCGUUGUCCGGAAUUACUGGGCGUAAAGAGUUCGUAGGCGGUUUGUCGCGUCGUUUGUGAAAACCCGGGGCUCAACUUCGGGCUUGCAGGCGAUACGGGCAGACUUGAGUGUUUCAGGGGAGACUGGAAUUCCUGGUGUAGCGGUGAAAUGCGCAGAUAUCAGGAGGAACACCGGUGGCGAAGGCGGGUCUCUGGGAAACAACUGACGCUGAGGAACGAAAGCGUGGGUAGCAAACAGGAUUAGAUACCCUGGUAGUCCACGCCGUAAACGGUGGGCGCUAGGUGUGGGUUCCUUCCACGGGAUCUGUGCCGUAGCUAACGCAUUAAGCGCCCCGCCUGGGGAGUACGGCCGCAAGGCUAAAACUCAAAGGAAUUGACGGGGGCCCGCACAAGCGGCGGAGCAUGUGGAUUAAUUCGAUGCAACGCGAAGAACCUUACCUGGGUUUGACAUACACCGGAAAACCGUAGAGAUACGGUCCCCCUUGUGGUCGGUGUACAGGUGGUGCAUGGCUGUCGCCAGCUCGUGUCGUGAGAUGUUGGGUUAAGUCCCGCAACGAGCGCAACCCUUGUCUUAUGUUGCCAGCACGUAAUGGUGGGGACUCGUAAGAGACUGCCGGGGUCAACUCGGAGGAAGGUGGGGACGACGUCAAGUCAUCAUGCCCCUUAUGUCCAGGGCUUCACACAUGCCACAAUGGCCAGUACAGAGGGCUGCGAGACCGUGAGGUGGAGCGAAUCCCUUAAAGCUGGUCUCAGUUCGGAUCGGGGUCUGCAACUCGACCCCGUGAAGUCGGAGUCGCUAGUAAUCGCAGAUCAGCAACGCUGCGGUGAAUACGUUCCCGGGCCC
rnacentral:rRNA from 1 species